AAGCCCUAGAGCUGUGAGUACCGAUCUCUUAAGGCUGCCACCUGGAAGACGUGACUUUCUGUUGUGAAACCUUCCUUAUUCUUUAGCACCUGAAGAAAACAGACAUUCUACGGGCCCGGACUGGGUGCUGAAAUAGAGUGGAAAGGAAACUAGGCAGAUAGGGCGCUAACCUCACACAGCCUGCAGUCUAGCAGGAAAGACAGACAUUGACUACAGCCCAUGAAUGCACAGUGACAAGGAGGUUAGAUGCUCUCUCAGAGGCAAAAGCUCAUGGGAACAUAUGACAGUUAAAUUUGAACAGUUAAACCUUUGGGGCGGGGAACUAGAAAGGCCAUAUCUUGCGGAAGUGGUGUCUGAGUUCUUAUCCGAAGUUGGUACGAGUGAAGAAAGUAAAACUAGGUGAAGGAUGGGGCAGGAAGUUGCAGGCGAAAGGAGCUGCUUGCGCAAGGCCCCUGUGGCGGGAGUAUAAUGAGAACAGCAUGCCAACCUCCCAGGGCUGUGGGAGGAUCCCUGGGGAUUCAUACAUGUCAGUGUCUCUUCACCACCACGAGGGGGCAGCACUGCCUGAUGUGGCUGGGGAGGUGGGCAUGGCCAGAGCACACCAGUUUUGUAGCCGCUUCUGCUAGGUGUGGAAUGCCUCCAGAUGGUUUCAAAAGUACCACAGUGACCUGAUUCGAUUUUUAUUUGCUUUUGAAAGUUUACUCCCUUAAAAAUAUAAAUGCGUGAAGAAUGAAUUGGAGAAGAAUGGGUAUGUGCAAAUCAGAUGAGGUCAGUGAAGAAGUCUGGAUCAGAGAUGUGUCUGGCUUAGAGGCUCCUGGGUAUUGCCAGUAUAUGUUGAUUUCAACCCUCACGAGUUCUUGCAUUUCAAGAACCUGUAAUAGCACAGAUAAGGAAAACCUCAAAUUUUAUAUAUAGCUAUUUCCAUUCUUAUUGGAAAUCCAAACAUAUCAACCAGUAAUUCCAAGGAUAGUUCCUUUCCUUAAUAAAUUUUCUUUCUGUGAAAAGGAUUUGCCUCAUUUUGCUUUUAGCAGCCAGAGUAGCCCUUAUAUAUUUCAAAUAGGAGUUGAUGUGCCGCACACCCAAGUUUCUGUUAACAUAGGCUGUGCAUUCAACAACGUGACUCUUACAGGCUGCAAAGUAUAGAAAGCAUGCAUGUAGGGCCCACCCGGCAUGGUCACUGGCGUGGGCUAUGCCUGCGCCUUCGCUCAUGUCCAUGUUGGCUGCCCGACUGCUGCAGUCUGUGCACAGAUGCUCCCUCCACCCUCGCCCCUUCUACCUCGUGGCAGUUCGAAAUGAAGCCGUGGUCAUUUCUAGAAGGAAACUGGCCCAGCAGAUCAACCAGGAAGGACAGCAGGAGGUGGAAGAGUGGGUGGCCUCAGGCAAUAAGCGGCCACACCUGAGCAUGAUCCUCUUUGUCCAGAAUCCUGCAAUCACACCUAUGUCCUCAACAAAACCAGAGCAGCAGCAGAUGUGGGAAUCAACAGGGAGACAGUUGUGAAACCGGCUUCAAUUUCAGAGGAAGAAUUGUUGAAUUUAAUCAAUAAACUAAAUAAUGAUGAUAACAUAGAUGGCCUCCUUGUUCAACUGCCUCUUCCAGAGCAUAUUGACGAGAGAAAGAUCUGCAAUGCUGUUUCUCCAGACAGGGAUGUUGAUGUCAUGUAAUUAAUGUAGGGCGAAUGUGUUUGGACCAGGAUUCCAUGUUACCGGCUACUCCAUGGGGUGUGUGGGAAAUAAUUAAGCGAACUGGCAUUCCAACCCAGUUGGAAGAAUGUGCUUGGCUGGAGGGUUAAAAAAUGUUGGAAUGCCCAUUGCAAUGUUACUGCACACAGACAGGGCACAUGAACAUCCCAGAGGUGAUGCCACUGUUAGAAUAUCUCAUCGAUACACUCCCAAACAGCAGUUGAAGAAGCAUACAAUUCUUGCAGAUAUUGUAAUAUCCGCUGCAGGCAUUCCAAAUCUGAUCACAGCAGAUAUGAUCAAGGAAGGAGCAGCAGUUAUUGAUGUGGGAAUAAAUAGAGUUCACGAUCCCAUAACUGCCAAACCCAAGUUGGUUGGAGAUGUGGAUUUUGAAGGAGUCAGACAAAAAGCUGGUUAUAUCACUCCAGUUCCUGGACGUAUUGUCCCCAUGACAGUGGCAAUGCUAAUGAAGAAUACCAUUAUUGCUGCAAAAAAGGUGCUGAGGCUUGAAGAGCGAGAAGUGGUGAAGCCUGAAGAGGUUGGAGUAGCCAGUAAUUAACUAUUGUGACUUAUGUGUCACGGACAACACUCCAAGCCAGCUUAAGAAGCAAAGCAGGCCAAUAGAAAUGCAAUAUUUUUAGUUUAUUCCACUGAAAUUGUUUAAAAUGAUGCUUUGUAUUUAUUAAAAGCUUAAAUGGGUGGGUGUUUGUGCACACACCUGCAGUACCUUGCCAGGGAGCAUUCCACUAUCAUGCAGGGUCAUGUGAUCUAGCCAAGCGCAGCCAUUAACCUAGUGGUGAACAUGGAGACAUUGUCCUAUGGAGAAUGGACGCUUAACUUUGUCAGGCCCUCGGUUAAACAUUUGCCUUUUCUAGGAUUGCAUUUCUCAAGUACUGUUCCAAUAAGAGUUGAUACUCAUUUUAGGUACCAAACCUUUUGAGUUCAGCUGAUCAAACCAAAGGAAAAGUGUUGCCAGAGGAAAUUAGGGGAAAGGUGAAAAAGAAAAAAAUGGUAGUAAUUGAGUAGAAAGAAAUUAACUUAUAUAUGCAUUGACUGGUCACCAGAUUUAUCUAAAUUAACUGAAUUGGCUAGGAAAAAAAACUACAUGUUAAUUGUUUUUCUAAGCUGUCUUUUUGAGGCUUAGUCAGUCAUUGGGAAAACGUUUAGGAUUAUUCCUUGCUAUUAGUCCUCAGUUUAUGUUUGUUACCCUUCAGUAAGUUCUCCUGAUUUUAGUUUUCUAGGAUCGAAAGGCUUCUUUUAUACAUUAUUCAUGUGUAUUGUCAUAUUUGUUUUUUGCUAUAUGCUUUAACUUCAUUGUUAAAUUUUUGUAUAGUUUCUUUGGUAUAUUUUAAAACCUAUUUUUGAAAAACAAACUUGGCUUGAUAAUCAUUUGGGCAGCUCGGGUAAGUCUGCAACUUACUUUUCCACCAGAUAACUGUUAGCAGCUGCCUGCUUUUCUAUGAUGCACCCUGUUGACUUUUCCAGAAAAUAUUUAAGAGUUUGCAUUAAUAUUGAAUUUAAUCAGACUUUUUGAUUAAAGGUUAUUUUUUUCUUUUUUU